AAUGGGCGCAAGCCUGAUCCAGCCAUGCCGCGUGAGUGAAGAAGGCCUUCGGGUUGUAAAGCUCUUUCGGCCGGGAAGAAAUCGUGGUCUCUAACAUAGGCCAUGGAUGACGGUACCGGACUAAGAAGCACCGGCUAACUACGUGCCAGCAGCCGCGGUAAUACGUAGGGGGCGAGCGUUAAUCGGAAUUACUGGGCGUAAAGCGUGCGCAGGCGGUUUUGUAAGACAGAUGUGAAAUCCCCGGGCUUAACCUGGGAACUGCGUUUGUGACUGCAAGGCUAGAGUACGGCAGAGGGGGGUGGAAUUCCUGGUGUAGCAGUGAAAUGCGUAGAGAUGUGGAGGAACACCGAUGGCGAAGGCAGCCCCCUGGGUCGACACUGACGCUCAUGCACGAAAGCGUGGGGAGCAAA
rnacentral:rRNA from 1 species